UACGGAGGGGACUAGCGUUGUUCGGAAUUACUGGGCGUAAAGCGCACGCAGGCGGUUUUGUAAGUCAGGGGUGAAAUCCCGGGGCUCAACCUCGGAACUGCCUUUGAUACUGCAAAUCUCGAGUCCGGAAGAGGUGAGUGGAAUUCCUAGUGUAGAGGUGAAAUUCGUAGAUAUUAGGAAGAACACCAGUGGCGAAGGCGGCUCACUGGUCCGGUACUGACGCUGAGGUGCGAAAGCGUGGGGAGCGAACAGG
rnacentral:rRNA from 1 species